rnacentral:rRNA from 1 species
AUUGAACGCUGGCGGCAGGCCUAACACAUGCAAGUCGAGCGGAUGAAGGGAGCUUGCUCCUGGAUUCAGCGGCGGACGGGUGAGUAAUGCCUAGGAAUCUGCCUGGUAGUGGGGGAUAACGUCCGGAAACGGGCGCUAAUACCGCAUACGUCCUGAGGGAGCAAGUGGGGGAUCUUCGGACCUCACGCUAUCAGAUGAGCCUAGGUCGGAUUAGCUAGUUGGUGGGGUAAAGGCCUACUAAGGCGACGAUCCGUAACUGGUCUGAGAGGAUGAUCAGUCACACUGGAACUGAGACACGGACCAGACUCCUACGGGAGGCAGCAGUGGGGAAUAUUGGACAGUGGGCGAAAGCCUGAUCCAGCCAUGCCGCGUGUGUGAAGAAGGUCUUCGGAUUGUAAAGCACGUUAAGUUGGGAGGAAGGGCAGUAAGUUAAUACCUUGCUGUUUUGACGUUACCAACAGAAUAAGCACCGGCUAACUUCGUG